UACGGGGGGGAGCAAGCGUUGUUCGGAUUUACUGGGCGUAAAGGGCGCGUAGGCGGCCAGCACAAGUCAGUUGUGAAAUCUCCGAGCUUAACUCGGAAAGGUCAACUGAUACUGUCGGACUAGAGUACAGAAGGGGCAACUGGAAUUCUCGGUGUAGCGGUGAAAUGCGUAGAUAUCGAGAGGAACACCUGCGGCGAAGGCGGGUUGCUGGGCUGAUACUGACGCUGAGGCGCGAAAGCCAGGGGAGCGAACGGG
rnacentral:rRNA from 1 species